rnacentral:lncRNA from 1 species
CAGUUCGAUUUUUCUAUUUCAGCGGAGCCAAUUUUAGUAAGAAAUAUUCACUCUUUUUAAUGAUUACAACAAGUGAUUUUAUCCUAUUACACAUCCCGUGCCAAUUUACCUCACCUUUGUACCUUGAAAAUCAAUACUAAAUUCCCAAACCAACUAAACCCAAACAUAAUAGCCAACUACCCAAACCCAUUACCCAGGGCCCGAUAAGCCCAAAACAUUAACUAGUUUCAGUAAAACAAAAUUGAAACCCUAACCCUAGCUCCCUUGCGCCGCUGCCUCCAUGUGCAAUGUCAGCACGCACACCGCCCGAGGUUUGACGCGGUUUUGCCGUCCGUCACCUGCAAAAGAAGAAGCAACAGCAGAACAAAAAACAACAAUCAACAGUGGCAUCUCUUUUAUUAUUAUUUUUGGCUAUAAAAGCCAUAUGAAACAAAUGUAAAAGGGGGGUUUUUUACAAACACUAGAAUAAAAAAUAGAAUAGAAAUUCAAAAAGGUUGAUCCUGAUUCUUGAUUAUUUAUUUUUAUCUAUCUAUUUUUCAUUUUUUUCUUUUUCCUACAAUUUUAUUUCAACACAAGGCAUAAAUAUGGAAAAAGGUAGAAAAGAGCGUACCUAAGGGGGCGUUCUCCGUCGUCGGGACGGCCGAGGAAGUCACCUCCGAG